GUGAGCCUAGUGAUAGGAGACUAUCUAGCUUGGUUCGGAGAGCACUUGUUGGGUUAAAUAUUUUUUUUUGUUGCUAAAUGUUACGGCCUAAAUGCUGAACUAUUGACCCUAC
rnacentral:ncRNA from 1 species